rnacentral:lncRNA from 1 species
GUCAUGUCUCACCAAUAGCUUUUUCUCAACAAAGCGAUGCAAGGACCAGAAUUGGUUGACUCGAGGAGUCGUUUUCGAUUUAUUGAAUCCUGUCUCGGCUUGAUGGGCUGUUUGUGCAUCAGCUAUGCGAUCUGGACACCCGGGUGGCUGGAUGACCGGGGUCUGUGGACCUCAGAGAAUCAGACCAGACUGGAUGACACCUGGACUACUGAAGACAUUACUAAAGCUCUGGAAGCUGAGAGAGUGUUUGCAGCGGUGGCUUUCCUCAUGUCGGUGAGCUCUGGACUGCUGUGUCUCAUGUUCGCUUUCUGCUGGAGGUCUCAAACCGUGCGUUCCUACUCGAACAUUCGCUCGCUGCAGAUGGCAGGCCAGUCGCUCAACCCGUCCACUCUGCUGCUGCUCACACUAGUACCUACAGGGUUUUUAUUUUUUCUCAGCUGGGCGCUUUUUACCUAUCAACAUAUUGGUGAGAUCAGGGAUGACAUCAGUCGACUCGGCCCAUCCUAUUGGCUGGGAGUGGUGGGUUGGGCCUUGCUAUUGGCCGUGCUGCCUGUAGUCUUUCUGGCGGAGAAGUUUGUGGUUCCUGACAUCCUGCCGGAGUUUAAAAAGGCUGCUGAAAUGUGGUGGAAGGCUCCGGAGGUUGCACAUGUGUGAUCGUUCAGUGAGGGUUUCCAUCAUUCACAGUAUAAGUCUCAUCCUGAUGUUAGGAGAUAUUUGUCAGUGCCUUGAACGAGAGGAAGGAGAUAGCAAGGAAAUACAAAAGAGAAGAGACUAUGGUCUGGCUGGUCUUCUAGCCAAAUAUAUGAGCUGAGCAAAUGUCUCACAACAGGACCUGGAUGAGAAACCUUUAACUGCUUUCUGGGAUGUGGGACACAAAGCUACAGGUUAUAAGGUUGGGUGCUGGCUUUGACAGUGGUUUCACAGCUGUAUUUGGACAAGGACACCCAUAAAUGUGGUUAAUGGAGUACCAGAGUUCACUAUCUGUGUGAGACAUAAAGCUAAAAAGGAUCUUCUUGAAGUUGCAGACAAACUAUUUCUCAAUAACUUUUCGUAGCCGUUGUCCGCAAUUAUUCUGCGAAUUAUACAGUGACUUCAUGGCAUAAAUCUGUUGUGGUUUGUUCAGCUGUGCCUUUAGCACAGUAAACUAAACAGUGUUUCCUUUCAUCAUUAUAAAAAGUGGCAAAUUUUGAAUUAUAUAUAUUCAAUAUAAACAUUAAAAUGUUAAUAGUUAAUAUGUGAUUGGUAGAACUAUAAUAAAGUUACUAAUAAUUGUAAUGGGGAGUACUUAAGUAAUGCUCAGCUCAAUUUUGCAGACAAUACUGAUUCAGAUCACAGAGCACUUUUUACUUGCUAAAACUUCUAGGUGCUUAUGAAGAAUUUAACACUACUAGAUGGUGCUACAAUUGUUUUGUGUAUGUGUGUGUGUGUGUGUGUGUGUGUGUGUGUGUCUUUUUAUAAGGAAACAGUGCUCCCUACUGUCGAGCAUCGAGUUCUGUCUAUCAAAUGCAUUUAUACUUUUUGUGCUGUUUUUAACCAAUAAAUAAAAUGGUUAUCAUAUAAAGUUGAGCCAGUAUCUAUCUAUCUAUCUGUCUAUCUAUCUAUCUAUCUAUCUAUCUAUCUAUCUAUCUAUCUAUCUAUCUAUCUAUCUAUCUAUCUAUCUAUCUAUCUAUCUAUCAAACAUCUGUGACCAUAUUGUAGGAAUGAUUUUUCAUUUCUUACUUAGUACUUUUUUGUUUGUUUGUUUUAUUUCAGUACCAUUAUACUAAUUCUAAAAAAAAAACUUUAGUCAUUUUGUUGUUUUCUCAUUUCAUUAAAUAUAUAACUACUAUAUAAUAAAUAGCUGAUUUUAUAAAAAUUAUGAAAUGUAUUUUUUUUUUUUUUUUUUACUAUUUUCAACUUAAAGGGAUAGUUCACUUAAAAAUGAAAAUUCUGACAUUAAUUACUCACCUGAGGAAUUGAUCUGAAUCACCCGAGACAAAUGCACAAUAGAAAUCUUUUCACUAGUGGUUCCAUGGCUUUUGGAAUUCACUGUUUGCAGACCAUUAAAAUUAUACAGGGAAACAUCAGUAGCCUUCUGAGACUGAGGUUAUGCACUCUGUCAUUAUGUUCUUCAUGAACAUUGAGAGAAAAAUGAGACUGAGAGCUUUCUGAACCUGUAGUGUUUACAUUCUGAUCCCACCCAACAUGAGAUGAAUAAACUGGCUGUGUUGAUUGCGCAUUAAUCAGUUGCGGGUCUAAUUAAACGGCAGUUCCGUCCUUUUAGCAGUGCCUAAUGAGUUUGUUUAUUAAAUCCAGAGAAGUGUUUUUUUAUUUACUAUCAGAAAAACACCUAAUUGGCCCUCAGAACAGCACUCGAGUGUCCUUGAAGGUUGUGACGGCGGGGAGAUUGAGAGUGCACCGGUUGACAUCGCCGCCUCCCACAAAGGGAGUAUUAAAGCGGUUCUGUGCAAAAGGUGUGUGUGUCCUGGACGUAAGCAGCCACUUAAAUUAUCGUUUGAGGAGAAUUUCAGAGCAGUACGGCUCUCAGAGGAACUCCGCUGUCCACACAAUUCUGACAUGCAGGUGUGCCCUUUUUUCUGCUGUGUAUGCUUUUUAGUGUUGUUUACACUUGUUUGUUUCCAGGCGAGGACCUCCUUUUUCCGCUUAAAAGAUAGCUAACUUUAUACUAUCCUGAAGUGUCCCUGUUGGGCAGGGCAAAUGCUGGUCAAAAUGAACUUCUGGAUCCCUUUUACAAAAACUUACCAUGCUUACCGUAGAUUACAGCCAAAGUUUCUACAGUAAUGUGCGGUAACGUGGUAUUAUUAGCCACCACUGGCAUCAUUAUAAUUGACAACCUGUCUCUCCAGCAGGUCCCUGUUCCCCCGC